CAUAAUCAUAACUUUAAUAUUAAGAUAUGGUUAACAUUCUUAGUGCUAAAGAUAAUCACCUCACCUUGUAUCCAUUCCUCCAGCUCCAACAUCUCGCCGAGGGCCAGGCAGCAGCAGCAGAGUCUCUCUGCUCUCUGCACUUGAGGAAAACUGUCUCGCACCUCACCAUGGGGCAGGACCGCAACAACCGUUGCCAAAACAACUCCGGAGAGUUACUCAAGUCCCUCCUCUUCUCCCUCCACCCCCUCCACCCCCGACAUCAACCCUGAGCCUGCGGCCAACAGAGGAGCCUUCUUCCAUCCCCGCCAUCGGACCAACAUGGCGAGGGGGAAGAAUGAAUGAGUCCAUUCCCUGCUCUGUGGCUGAAGUGCACAUCCUGAACCUGCUGGAGACGAUUAAACAGCAGCAAGACCAGCUCGUGGCAAAGGUCAACUACCUCUGCAGCAGGAUGAACAGCACCCCGGGGACAGAAGUUGAGAUGCCUGAAAAUAUUAAUCUCCCGUUGGAACACCUGGAGGCAGUGGAGGAAUUUGAGGUGUUUUUAAAAGAACCCUCAAACCACCCAGCUCGACAGAGAAUAGUGAGUCUUCUUAAUAUGAAUGGUCCAUGCUAUAAUGCUAUUAGGUAUAUUGAUUGA
rnacentral:lncRNA from 1 species